AAGAGAAACUGGUGAAUGAACGAGAGUCGGAUUCACUAACCUGCUAGUCCACGCAGUCCGGAAACCGAGGAACAACUGAGAGAGGCUUGGAGACCUUCGUGGCUGACUAGUGUACGAUAAAACUCCUUAAUGCUUCAGUACUAGAUAUAUUUUUCAUUACACGACAUAACAAGAUCUAGAAUUGAAUGAAGCUAGAAGACAAAGAAACUUAGCGAUAUUUCUCCACCGACACCGCUCAUUUCUUCAUAUCUCGAUGAAGAACCAUUAUUGUCCCAGAAGAGCUAGUCUUAUCGGGAUGGAAUAAUCAACGCAAAACAAUGCCUUUUUAGUCUUCUAACGACGUCAACAGUACUCUCUGAUACAGGUACUUAUGUUGUUGGCGUGAUUCAUCAAUCUUUCGAAAUAACGAUUACGAGAAGGAGGUGGCAGAAAGACACGAGCCUACGUAAAACGUGUAAAGCAUGAAUUUUUGGAAAAGCACAAGGGUAAAUGUCAAUUUUAGGGCAAAGUGGUUGUGCCUACAUUCGUGCGUAUAAUCGAAGAGAGGGGUGAAACCCCCUCUCUUGUUAGCCACCCACGGCAUUCCAGUAAUCGGGCUACCGUUCCCUCUUCUUCACUCUACCUUUCCCCUCGAUCUUUCAAGGCCCUUCCCCUCUGCUAACCCCGUGUCACAGCAGUGCGGCUGCUGAAUGACCGAAAGUGGGGGUAACUCAUCUCUCCUCUAACUACCCACGCAAUCAAUAGCAGCCUUGCUGCUUCUACUGAAUGGACUCUGCCCUCCACGGCCUCCGCUGCUCUUCGUCUGCUUCGAACCGGCUUCUAUCCUUUUUCACCCUCACUCUAUCGAUUACUACGCCCUUGCCGUGCGAUCUUGCGGGGGGCCGCUCUAUCGACCCAUCCACCUGUAUUACAGUUCAUUCAUAAAUCUUUGCUGCUUUUCACUCGGGAUUGCAGCUUGUUUCAUCCUCUAUUGGUCGUCUAAAGUAUAUUAUUGCAUAUAUUUUCAUAUUUCUACGUCUGGUUGUUGUUUAUCGUAGGAUUUAUAAACAUUAAAAUCUGUAACGAAAAAAAGACACGUGUGCUUGAGUUACGAGGAAUAUCAGAAUACCAUGUAUACUCUUUCCGCGGUAAUAAAUUGAUAAAUGACUUCUGUUUUAAUAUCGUGCGGUUUUAUGUCAAUAUUUGAAUGAAGAUUGCUUGGCGAAGGCAACUUUCUUUGACUUUCUGUUUGAUGAUAUAAGAAAUGUGGGGUACUAGCCAAUAUAAUGAUGUUAUAGAUAAGCUUCACCCAUAUAGGAUCCAAUCAGUUCACAGUCGGAAUGAUGAAGAGAUCCUUCAAUAGACAUUUAUUUGGCAAUGAUUGAAAUGAAAUAUUUAGGAUUUCCUUUUAGACAGGAAUUUGUAAUAUUCAAAGAACUAAUCUAAUACAAUAUUUUGUUCAUUUUUAUAUCUUUCCUUUUGAAGAGUAGGGAAGAAUGAGAGAAAGUUAACGAAUAAAUUUUCAAAUAGUUAAUAAAAUGUGUUUAUUACAUUUUUAUUAAAUACUGUACAUUAUUUCAUCAGUUUUAAAUGCACGAGUACGUGUUACAAAUUAAUUGAUGAUAAACAUUAGAUGCAUCUACAAUUAAUCAUCCAGCUAUUAGCUUUAUAGAAUUUUUCAUUUAGCUAAACUCACAUUGUCGCUUACUUAAUUUAACUAAUGUUGUCGAAUGUUGCAACGAUCAUUAUAAAAUAUGUACG